CAAGUUUAUAAAGAAAUGGGAGAAAGUGAUGCCAGUUCGGCUUUGACACCAUCCUAGGGCUCAGCAAGUGUCACGCUUUCAUGUGGUGUCUUCCUUCCUACUGUCUAGCGUAAUGAGCUGGAGGAUUCUUCUAAUUAGCUAAAUAUUAUUGCACAUCAGAGUGGGGCCAGGCUUCCUGUACAUUCUUAUUUGCGUUUUGCCAGCCAAAGGAAGAAAGCUGUUAGAGGCAGGGAGCAGAUGCUGCAGGCCGUAUUAUGCUAAAUCAAGGAAACGGGAGAUAAUUAACACAGCAACUCUGGCAAGUUUAAUAGGUGUCACCACAGACCCACUUCUGUUUGCAGUGUUAUCGAGAGCCCAUAUAUUCCUGGAACAUAUGGAAUGAAAUCCCAACUGCAGAGCGUUUGUGGGAAGCAG
rnacentral:lncRNA from 1 species